GCUAAGUUCGUGCCAGCAGCCGCGGUAAUACGAACUGUGCGAACGUUAUUCGGAAUCACUGGGCUUAAAGGGUGCGUAGGCGGCGCUGUAAGUCAGGUGUGAAAUCCCCCGGCUCAACCGGGGAAUGGCGCUUGAAACUGCAGUGCUUGAGUGAGGUAGGGGUGCAUGGAACUUCCGGUGGAGCGGUGAAAUGUGUAGAUAUCGGAAGGAACGCCGGCGGCGAAAGCGGUGCACUGGGCCUUGUCUGACGCUGAGGCACGAAAGCUAGGGUAGCGAACGGGAUUAGAUACCCCUGUAGUC
rnacentral:rRNA from 1 species